UUCACAACUGCCAGUGUUGUGUAAUUUGCAUGCCACAACAGGAGGUGGCGCUGUUGAUGCCGUUUAACGCAUAGCACCAUCCACCAUGGCCAGGACCACAACCGAGUGAGUCAGUCGCCCCAAAACAACACGCCCUGAGCAGCCAACAGGAGAGCUGCUGAUGAAGUGAAUGAACCUCAUCCAGACUGCGCUCCUGUCAUCACAUCUCAACACACGGAGGUGAAAGCUGCGGAAAGAUUCCAACAGAGAGAAAGGAGACAGGAGACUGUGACGGCAGUUACUGCACCUGCUGCACCUGAACCUCACACACCUGAUGGUUAUCAAGCUCCACAACAGAGCGACAUGGUGGAGAAUGAGCAGUGUGUCAGUUGUAAACUUAUGAAUGGUGAAAUGAAGUCCAUGUGUGCUGAGAUGAACCGCUUGUUUUGUUUAUCUUGAUUAUAUGUGACCAACUUCUGUUUUUCUGUAAAUAAAAAUUGAUGGCUAACAGUC